GCUGGCGGCGUGCCUAACACAUGCAAGUCGAACGAGAAAGUGGAGCAAUCCAUGAGUAAAGUGGCGACCGGGUGAGUAACACGUGACUAACCUACCUUCGAGUGGGGGAUAACCUCGGGAAACCGGGGCUAAUACCGCAUAACAUCUUUGAAGUGGAAAUUUCGGAGAUCAAAGGAGCAAUUCGCUGGAAGAGGGGGUCGCGGCUGAUUAGCUAGUUGGCGGGGUAACGGCCCACCAAGGCUUAGAUCGGUAGCCGGCCUGAGAGGGCGCACGGCCACACUGGAACUGAAACACGGUCCAGACUCCUACGGGAGGCAGCAGUGGGGAAUUUUGCGCAAUGGGGGAAACCCUGACGCAGCAACGCCGCGUGGAGGAUGAAGUCCCUUGGGACGUAAACUCCUUUCGACCCGGACGAUAAUGACGGUACGGGUGGAAGAAGCCCCGGCUAACUUCGUGCCAGCAGCCGCGGUAAUACGAGGGGGGCAAGCGUUGUUCGGAAUUAUUGGGCGUAAAGGGCGCGUAGGCGGUGCGGUAAGUCACCUGUGAAGCCUCUAGGCUCAACCUAGAGCCUGCAGGCGAAACUGCCGUGCUUGAGGGUGGGAGAGGUGCGUGGAAUUCC
rnacentral:rRNA from 1 species